UGUCAUUUUUGGUCCUCGCUUCUCUUAGAGCUGUAUUUAUCUCGUUUAAGGGUGGUGGGACAAUCUGUCAACCUGAAAUAAUUUUUUCGUAUAACUGUACAGUUUUUUUUUAACAUACAUACAUAUAUACAUAUAUAUAUAUAUACAUACAUACAUAUAUACAUAUAUAUAUAUACAUA